GUGAGGCACGCUCACAGGUGCAUCUGCCCCCUUUCCUUCCUCCCUCCACAGACCCGGCCCUGCUCAGCCGGAUCCUCAUCGAAGCCACCUUAGUUGAGUCUUUCGUCCGGUGCCGCGCCCACUACCACCAGUGUUGCCCCUCCGGGCUGCGGAAGCUUUACUUCGGCUGCCUGAAAGAAGGUCAAGUUCUGUCCGCGAACUCUUGGUCUCCGAGGUGACGGCGUCAGAGGUUUCUAAAGUCACCCUCGACUUCGCCCCCAUGCUUCUAUGAUUAUACGUUUUGGCAAAGACAGUUUUCAAGUUCAUGCAUUUAACUAAGAGUUCUUGUGAAAAAAGGUGCUUCGUAUAUGCAUUUGCAAACCCUUGAUUAUUUGCAAACCUCUAUUUCGUAGAGAAUAAUUUGCACACUGGCACAGGUUGAAGUGUUAUAUUUUGCAAAAAGUGCUGAGAUAGCAGGAAUUCGCUCGGAGACCAUUUCUGUGCCACAGGAAAUAAAAGCAUUGCAGCUGUGGAAUGAGAUAGAAGCACGACAUCCUGGAUUGGCUGAUGUCAGAAAUCAGGUGAUAUUUGCUGUCCGUCAAGAAUAUGUCGAGCUUGGAGAUCAACUCCUCCAGCUUCGGUCGGGGGACGAAAUUGCCAUUAUCCCCCCCAUUAGUGGAGGGUAGUGGUCAUGAGCCACUUGGGGAAGAUCUGAAGGAAGUUGAAGAGUCAGCUAAGGAGAUAAUAAAAUUCACCACUGAGAAGCUGUCCAUAGAUGAAGCCUCACAGUUGGUGAUUUCUCCACUCUGUGGUGCAGUAUCCCUGUUUGUAGGGACUACAAGAAAUAACUUUGAAGGGAAAAAAGUCAUUAGCUUAGAAUAUGAAGCAUAUCUCCCAAUGGCAGAAAAUGAAAUCAGAAAGAUCUGUAGUGACAUUCGGCAGAAAUGGCCAGUCAAACACAUAGCAGUGUUUCAUAGACUUGGCUUAGUUCCAGUGUCAGAAGCAAGCAUUAUCAUUGCUGUGUCCUCAGCCCAUAGGGCUGCAUCCCUCCAAGCUGUGAGCUAUGCCAUUGAUACUUUAAAAGCCAAGGUGCCCAUAUGGAAAAAGGAAAUGUAUGAAGAAUCAUCAUCAUCUUGGAAAAGAAACAAAGAAUGCUUUUGGACAGCCAGUGAUUAAGUCACACAUUUUUUUAAGAAUACUAAAAUUAAAUUUGUUGUAUUUUCAUGUACAAUGCAUACCAGACACACUCACUGGUGGUAGUUCCGUGGUAAGCCACCCUGACAGCUUGGUUCACCAGGACUGAGAUGGGCAAGGUUGAGGAAGGCGUUUGAGAGGUCACCUGAUCUGGGAAUGGGAGACGUUUGUGCAUCGAUGUAGAUGGAAGCAUGUGCUACCCAACCUUUGCAUUAAUGUGCCAUCUGUACAGUGAAGGCCAGUCGAAAGAAUCACUGCCAUUUCCUCCACCAAGUAUAUUAAGAAUAUUAAGAGCUGCAUUUUGGGGGAAAACAAGUCGACAAAACCCAAUUUAUUGAUUGAUUUAACAUUACAUUACAGUGGCAGAUGAGCCAUCACAGAAUUUCUGAGUUGGGCUGAACUUUAUCUUGCCUUUUGGUAAUUAUAUUUCUUUUCAUUUAUAUUUUCAAGAGCUAAAAUAAGGUUUUACAAUUUAGGAAUGAAGUAACUGACUUAAUGGCAGUCAUACCUUUACUCUUCAUUCCAGAAUUUCCCAGUUUGGGGUCCAUGGAGCCAAAGGGAUCCAUGAGUAUAAAAAUUUUUAUAUCAGAUUUUUAAAUGGACUGGGAUUCAAAUAAAUUUAAGAAUCGCUCAUCUACCUAAAGGGAUAUGCCAGUUAAUUAUCUGGAUUCCAAAUAUUAUUCAAAAAAUUAUCCAGAUUAUUUGGAUUAAAAAUGUAUUUUCAUGGACAAGGAAUAGUUGGCCUUUGUUAUUUAUCAGUAUUGACAAGAGAAAAUCAAGAAAAAAUCUAAAGCGUUCAUUAAAAUUGUUAGAUAAAUGUAUUGAAAAUUGAAAUAGUGCUUUCUGAAAAAAAUAAAGACCUCGGCAGAUGUUCAGAGGGUCUGAACACUACAUUUUUUAAAAAAUGAACUUUCAAAAUAUCUAUAGUACUUCUAAGUUCAUAAUACUUUGAAUUUGAAGUCCACAUUUCCUUUGGCUCCAUUUCUGAUUUUCCACAUCCCAGCCUCUGAAGAGAGGGUGUGGGCCUUUGCUGAGGGUCGUAAGCCCAGGGCCGAACAGCAUCCUUUCUUGGAAUCCUUUCUCCUGGGACCAGAGUGGGCCACCAGUGCUGUGAGCCCUACUCUCAAGGAUUGAGAGAGGUCCAGAGUUCACAGGGCCGUUGGCUUUUUAAUGGCUACAACAGUGGACUGAGGCCAGCUGCCAGGCUGGUUUUGGGGCAGAGUCUUAAACUGGGGCUUCCAUUUGUUAACAAAAGCAUUGGGAGGAAAAUGCUCAGCCAGCAAAUUAGCUGAGCUUGGAAGUCCCACUAUAUCUAAAUAUGGCCUAUUCCAACCAGAGGUUCACUGCAAAGGAAAGUUGUCCUGUGCCAGCCCUUGGAACAGUGAGCCUUUGUUUCCUCUGAAAGUACAUUUCUUCGUAAGAUUUUUUUUUUUUAAGUCAAGGGGAACAUUCAUAGUUUUCUAGAGUAUAAGAACUCAUGAAUGGACACUUCACACAGUGCCGGUAUCUAGCUAUAAGGAAUACUAAAAAACAAAAACAAACCCCCCCAACCCUCUAAUAAAUGCCUUAAGGCUACUUAAGCACUUCUCUUUAAACAAUAAAAUAAAAUAUGUGAUUCAAAUAAGCCUGACUUGAAUGUCAUAGCCUAAGAUGUAGACUGUGCUGUGAAAGCAAGAAGAGAAAGGAAGAGCUGCUUGAGGCCUGGAUUAAGGAGCCACAAACAGCAGGAGCCCCUUUUGUUGUGCCUCGCAGUGGACUGUCCCUUCUGAUGCAGCUUCGCCAACACGGGAUGGGGGCCGUCGGGGAGUGUGGAGGGCGAGCAUAUCACUGAACAUUUUAGAGUAAAGUAGCAAACAACUUUGCCAAUAAGCCUAACGUAAUAAACUUAGGUUUUUAGAGUUUCACUAAGAAACUUGUACAGACGUGUAGGUGAGAAGAGCCACUAUUAAGUUUUCAGAAAGGAAGGCCUAUCAGAGACUAGUGCCCGCUGGGGUGACAGGAUGUGCUCACCGUGACUGUGUUUUCUUCAAUCACAUAUAUCUGAGGGUUAUAGGUGUCAAUUUCUGCAGAUGCGCUCAGCUGUACGGUCUGGAAAGUUGACUGGAACAUAAGAAUAAAGAAUAGGUUUUAUCCUAGCAGAAGUUCACACACACAACUUUGGCAUGUUUAUUAUUUAUUUCCUUGUGGAAAAUGUCAAGAGCAAAGGGCUCCUAUGAAGCCCCAAGAAUCUUUAUGUUCCUAAAUCGGUGAUAUGUGUAGGACCGCACAUGGGAAGCAGCUGGGGAACUGAAAACAUGUGGAUACCUGGGCCAUAAUAGCAAAUUAAACCAAAUCUUGGGAGUGGGGGUGAAGUUCAGGCAUCAGCAGUUUUUAAUUGGGAAAAUCAUGGUUCAGAUUUUUAAAAACUUUAUGAAGUUUUCAUCAUGAGGGAAAAUUGCAAGCUUGAGUUUAUAUAUUUACCUGAAUAAGUCAAAUAAUGGAAUGGAAAAUCAGAAUAAAAACAGUAAAAGUACACUUAAACUUGAUCAUGCAUGUCAGCAGCAGACACCCUGAACCUUUUGUCAAGCUACAUAAUGAGUAAUAAUUUCAGGUUUCUAAGUGUUUGUAUAAAAUACUGGAUUUGGGACAGGCAUAUAGGAAGGACACAUUUUAUGCUGUUACUAGUAACCAUGUAAUAUGAAAUAACUUUACACGUAUUCCUGGACCUACUUAGAGAAAAAUGAUUUUUCAAUGGAUACAUUAUUGAUGUGUAUUUUGUUUUUUCUCUAAUGCAAAUGUUGGGACUGAUGCUUACUUUGAAAUAGCAUACAAUGCCCAGAUUUAGAACUGCCUUCCUAUGCUCUGGCUACUAGGAUUCAGUUUUUCUGGUUACCAAGGCACAUAUUUCAACAUACUUCAUGAGGUGAUUUGCUAAAUUAUAUCUGGGAGCCAGAAAAAGAAUGCAUAUCCAAAAAGUGAGCAAUUUAUUUCCUUUCCCCCGGCUUAGUAUGAUUAGUUUUAAUUUUCUCAAGAUGGAAGAUUGCAUCAGAAGUGAAGCCUGAUCCCUCAUGUCUUAAGCACACAUUAUUGGGGAAACAUUCACAGUAUUGAUAAUGGUCUCUUUUAAAAAGAAAAAUAGCAUUUAAAUGAUGCUGGUUUCAGAGUCCCUGUAGACUAAAAAGAAUUUCUUCACAACAAUGAUCUGCCCUCCCAAGCCUGCCCCUUUGCAUAGCCGUGCACACGAUAUCCUGUUAACUGGGGUAGUUACACCACACGAACCUGGGAGAGUGAAGUAAGACACCUGCUAGCACUCACAAGGCUCUGCCUUACAAACCGCAGCCAACCAUGCCACUGAUGCAGAGGCCUGAGCAAUCACUUUGUAACGAAAUUAGGGAAAUGUUUACUUGCAGUGCAUCAGAAAAAGGGUGAAAGGCAGUAUGCUAAUGGACUCUACUACAGGAAAUGAGAUUUGUAUUUCAGACUGGAUCUCCUAGGUGGCCAGAGAACAUCCAUUUGACUGUUGAAAUAGCUGAAAACAAGGUAGGAAUAAACAUUUGACCUUUUCAUGGAGGAGGAAGAUGUGUGGGACUCGACAGACACUCUCAUGGGGUUUUUCAGCUCAUCCAUAACCACUGAAAAAGCAUAAAUAUACUUCUUCAGAAAUUUGCUCCCAGAAAUGAGACUGCUGCUCCUAACAACGUUUGGGAAGGUACUUUUAAAAGUCUUACAGUUAAAAUAAUGUAGUUUUAAAGAAACUCAAGAAAACCCAAAUGGCUUUUUACAGAGCCAGCAUGAUUGCAUUUUGAUUUGCAACAGUUUUCCUUCCCAGCUGGCAAGGUUGCUAAGGAAAACAUUUGUUCCUCAAAUCCAAGGCUUAGACAAGAACCAAUUGGUGAAAUCUGGCACCAAACUGUAUCAGCUGGGACAGUGGUCUAAUUCACCGCAUGCUUCCCAUCUUCUAGGAUUUAGAGGGGUCUGAAAGGCUUGAAAGCAAAUGUAACCAACAACAAAAUAAAAGCAAGCAGGAGGAAAACCCAGUUCCUCACUCCUACACUCUCCCACUUCUCUGUUCCCCUCCCUCUCACUGUUCCUCUUUUUAUUAUGUCUUUAUCCAAGAAUAUUGCUCAUAUUUUGGUUCCAGGGAUAAGUUCGGAGGGAACUUAGUCCUCUAAUCUUAAAACUCCAUAGCAGGGAAAAUGGGGUUGUUGGAGAGAUCAUGAAAUGGUUAGAAAAUAGGGAAUGGACUGUGGUUGGUAAGCACCUUGACGAGUCAUUAUUCGUUUA